AGUAGUCAGUUGACUGGGUGCCUUGAUUGCGGACACACCAGUACUCCCACACAAACAUAAAUACUACCAGAGACGUUCUCUCUCAUCCAUUCAUGGCUCCACAUCUCCUCCUUGUCCUGCGCAUCCUUUUCUUCCUCACUGGAGUCUCAUAUGCACAGAGUGUGUCCACAGUGAGUCAUGUGUCUGUAAAGCAAGGAGGCUCCAUCACCAUCCCAUGUCUCUAUGAUCAGAGAUAUAGAAACAAUGUGAAAUACUGGUGUAGGGGAUAUAAUUGGUUAAGUUGCUCUACUGUAGUACGCACUGACCAUCCUAAGACCAGUGGAAAGACCUCCAUCUCUGAUGACAUCAACCAGCGAGUCUUCACUGUGACCAUGACAAGUCUUAGUCCUAGUGAUUCUGAUUAUUACUGGUGUAUUGUGGAGAGGAAGAGCAAGGGAGAUGAUGGGGUUAGACUGCAGAUAUCUGUUACUCCAGGUACUCCAGAACUCUACGUGGACCAACAACAGAUGACUGAAGUUGUAGGAGGGAGUGUCACUGUGCUCUGUUGCUAUAGUUCACAAGGAAACCGUGGGAGGUGGUGCAAGAUUGGAGGCUCUUGUGUGGCUGUGGGACAUUCUGGGGCUUUAGAUGGAACAUUUGUGAAGUUAGUGCAGGAGGAGAGCCGAACCACCAACGGUUAUGUCUUAAUGGUGACUAUGAGUGGAUUGAUGAUGGAGAACACUGGCUGGUACUGGUGCGAAAAGGGAGACAUACAGAUGCCUGUUCAUAUCACUGUCAAUCAACCAACCACAACACAGAGCACCACCACAACAACACAAGCUUCAUCCACUCACCAAGCGUCACUAACCAGUGCUGAGUCUAACACUUUUCCGCCCACAGUUUCCCCUUCUGUUACAAACAGGGACAAUGUUGUAACUAACGAGAACACAGAUGAGAAGCACCAGAGUUGGCUGGAAUUCCUGUUCAUUCCUCUGAGCCUAUUGGUGGUGUUGAUAGCUGUUACCUUGGUCACAUUGAAGAUGUUGAGAAAACAUAAGGACAAGAAAGCAAAGGACCAACCACCAAACACCACAGUACAGUCUUCUGACUCUGAGCAGAACAUUACCUACAGCACUGUGAGUCACAUCAGAGGAUCAACACAACAGGACCCAUUACCUGAUGAUGCAGUGACAUACAGCACCGUGGUCACCAAGAACAAGGUCCAACCAAAUAUUCCAUUACCUGAUGAUGCAGUGACAUACAGCACUGUGGUCACCAAGAACAAGACCCAACCAAAUGCAGCAGAACCAGAUGAUGUGGUCUACAGCACAGUGGCCCAACACCAGAGAUAGGGAGUAGCAGCAGAGCAGUGACAGAAUUAAAUCCUUGGUCCCAAAGAACCAGACAAGCUUUAUGGGGAAAAUACUGGAGGAUCUCAGUGUACUAAGGCAUCAGAAGAAAUGUGUCCAGAUUGACAGAAGUCAUGAUGUAAGUGGUGCUUGUGAAGACAGGAGGAUCCAUUACAGAGCUAUAGAGCUAUAGAAACCAUGUGAAAUACUGGUGUAAAGGACAUCGUUGGAACAGAUGCUGUUAUGUAGUCCUCACUAACCAUCCUAAGAGCAGGGAUAAGACCAGAAUCACUUAUGAUAUCAAUCAGGGAACCUUCACUGUGACCAUGGCUGACCGGGAGCCAGGGGACUAUGGGUAUUACUGUUGUGAUGUGGCGGAUAAAAUGACAGUUUUACAGGAUACAAAUGUCCUUGUCAGUCACUCUAGGUAAGAUGCAGACACUGUUUGCAUCUGUUCUUCAUUUUCCAUUGACUAUCCUGUUGAGUAUCCAGCAUAAUGUUGCCCCACUGUACAUAUUUCGACGACGAUACUUUUAUGGUGGAUAUUUCCAAGCUAGACCAUACAUUGUCCAGAUCUUAAUAUCUCAGUGUUGUUUACUUUGUGUGUAGAUAAUACAGAACUUUGCAUGGGCCAACAACAGUUGACUGUUACACCCAUGGCCCGAACAUGAUGUGGUGCAGGUUUGGUGCCUUGUGUUUGGGGUAUCCUGAGACUUUGGAUGGCACAUCAUUAACAUUACAGCCAAUCAAUGGUCAAUCCAGCGGUUAUGUUUUGAUGUUGACCCUUAUUAAGUGGACUGAACAUGAAAAACACUGACUGGUACUGGUGUGCAAUGGGAGACCUACAGAUGCCUGUUCAUAUCAUUUAAGGAAUAAGGCAUGAGGGGGUGUGGUAUAUUGCCAACAUACUACUGCUAAGGGCUAUUCUUAUGUACGACGCAACGGAGAGUGCCUAAACACAGACCGUAGCCAUGCUAUAUUGGUCAUAUACCACAAACCCACAAGGUGCCUUAUUGCUAUUUUUAAACUGGUUAACAAUGUAAUUAGAAAAGUAAAAUAAAUGUUUUACUGUUCAGCCAAUCAGCAUUCAUAAUUUCAAUCAACCAAU